AACGCACAUUGCGCCCACUAGUAUUCUGGUGGGCAUGCCUGUUCGAGCGUCAUUUCAACCCUCAGGCCACUCGUAUGGUCUGGCGUUGGGGCAUUUCCGGCAUCCGGGAAGCCCCGAAAUGCAGCGGCGGUGUCUGUCAGCACUCUAGGCGCAGUAAAUUUUAUUCGUCUGGCUGUGUGGCGGUUCCACCGGCCCUAUAAUUCAUCCACAGUUGACCUCGGAUCAGGUAGGAAUACCCGCUGAACUUAA
rnacentral:misc_RNA from 1 species